CCUACGGGAGGCAGCAGUGGGGAAUAUUGGGCAAUGGGCGAAAGCCUGACCCAGCAACGCCGCGUGAAGGAAGAAGGCUUUCGGGUUGUAAACUUCUUUUGACAGGGAAGAGGAGAAGACGGGACAUGUCGAAUAAGCCACGGCUAACUACGUGCCAGCAGCCGCGGUAAUACGUAGGUGGCAAGCGUUGUCCGGAUUUACGGGGGGUAAAGGGAGCGCAGGCGGCACGGCAAGCCUGAUGUGAAAGCCCGCGGCCCAACCGCGGGACGGCAUUGGGAACUCCCGGGCUGGAGUGCCGGAGAGGUAGGCGGAAUUCCUUGUGUAGCGGUGAAAUGCGUCGAUAUUAGGAGG
rnacentral:rRNA from 1 species